rnacentral:rRNA from 1 species
CUACGGGUUGCAGCAGUGGGGAAUAUUGGACAAUGGGGGCAACCCUGAUCCAGCCAUGCCGCGUGUGUGAAGAAGGUCUUUUGGUUGUAAAGCACUUUAAGCAGGGAGGAGAGGCUAAUGGUUAAUACCCAUUAGAUUAGACGUUACCUGCAGAAUAAGCACCGGCUAACUCUGUGCCAGCAGCCGCGGUAAUACAGAGGGUGCGAGCGUUAAUCGGAAUUACUGGGCGUAAAGCGAGUGUAGGUGGCUCAUUAAGUCACAUGUGAAAUCCCCGGGCUUAACCUGGGAACUGCAUGUGAUACUGGUGGUGCUAGAAUAUGUGAGAGGGAAGUAGAAUUCCAGGUGUAGCGGUGAAAUGCGUAGAGAUCUGGAGGAAUACCGAUGGCGAAGGCAGCUUCCUGGCAUAAUAUUGACACUGAGAUUCGAAAGCGUGGGUAGCAAACAGGAUUAGAUACCCCCGUAGUC